UACGGAGGGGCAAGCGUUGUUCGGAAUUACUGGGCGUAAAGGGCGCGCAGGCGGCUGCUCAAGUCAGGCGUGAAAGGCCUGGGCUCAACCCGGGAAUUGCGCUUGAGACUGGGCUGGCUUGAGUGCGGGAGAGGAUGGUGGAAUUCCCAGUGUAGAGGUGAAAUUCGUAGAUAUUGGGAAGAACACCGGUGGCGAAGGCGGCCAUCUGGACCGCAACUGACGCUGAGGCGGCGAAAGCGUGGGGAGCAAACAGG
rnacentral:rRNA from 1 species